rnacentral:rRNA from 1 species
GAAAGCAUGGGGAGCGAACAGGAUUAGAUACCCUGGUAGUCCAUGCCAAAAAUGAUGAAUAUUUGCCCUGGGUCUAGAUGGGAUAUCACGGCUACAAAAGGUUGCGGCGGCGGAAAAGUGUUC